GGGUUGUGAGGUUAAGCGACUAAGCGUACACGGUGGAUGCCCUGGCAGUCAGAGGCGAUGAAGGACGUGCUAAUCUGCGAUAAGCGUCGGUGAGGUGAUAUGAACCGUUAUAACCGGCGAUUUCCGAAUGGGGAAACCCAGUGUGUUUCGACACACUAUCAUUAACUGAAUCCAUAGGUUAAUGAGGCGAACCGGGGGAACUGAAACAUCUAAGUACCCCGAGGAAAAGAAAUCAACCGAGAUUCCCCCAGUAGCGGCGAGCGAACGGGGAGGAGCCCAGAGCCUGAAUCAGUGUGUGUGUUAGUGGAAGCGUCUGGAAAGGCGUGCGAUACAGGGUGACAGCCCCGUACACAAAAAUGCACAUAUUGUGAGCUCGAUGAGUAGGGCGGGACACGUGGUAUCCUGUCUGAAUAUGGGGGGACCAUCCUCCAAGGCUAAAUACUCCUGACUGACCGAUAGUGAACCAGUACCGUGAGGGAAAGGCGAAAAGAACCCCGGCGAGGGGAGUGAAAAAGAACCUGAAACCGUGUACGUACAAGCAGUGGGAGCCUCUUAAUGGGGUGACUGCGUACCUUUUGUAUAAUGGGUCAGCGACUUAUAUUCUGUAGCAAGGUUAACCGAAUAGGGGAGCCGAAGGGAAACCGAGUCUUAACUGGGCGUUAAGUUGCAGGGUAUAGACCCGAAACCCGGUGAUCUAGCCAUGGGCAGGUUGAAGGUUGGGUAACACUAACUGGAGGACCGAACCGACUAAUGUUGAAAAAUUAGCGGAUGACUUGUGGCUGGGGGUGAAAGGCCAAUCAAACCGGGAGAUAGCUGGUUCUCCCCGAAAGCUAUUUAGGUAGCGCCUCGUGAAUUCAUCUCCGGGGGUAGAGCACUGUUUCGGCAAGGGGGUCAUCCCGACUUACCAACCCGAUGCAAACUGCGAAUACCGGAGAAUGUUAUCACGGGAGACACACGGCGGGUGCUAACGUCCGUCGUGAAGAGGGAAACAACCCAGACCGCCAGCUAAGGUCCCAAAGUCAUGGUUAAGUGGGAAACGAUGUGGGAAGGCCCAGACAGCCAGGAUGUUGGCUUAGAAGCAGCCAUCAUUUAAAGAAAGCGUAAUAGCUCACUGGUCGAGUCGGCCUGCGCGGAAGAUGUAACGGGGCUAAACCAUGCACCGAAGCUGCGGCAGCGACACUAUGUGUUGUUGGGUAGGGGAGCGUUCUGUAAGCCUGUGAAGGUGGCCUGUGAGGGUUGCUGGAGGUAUCAGAAGUGCGAAUGCUGACAUAAGUAACGAUAAAGCGGGUGAAAAGCCCGCUCGCCGGAAGACCAAGGGUUCCUGUCCAACGUUAAUCGGGGCAGGGUGAGUCGACCCCUAAGGCGAGGCCGAAAGGCGUAGUCGAUGGGAAACAGGUUAAUAUUCCUGUACUUGGUGUUACUGCGAAGGGGGGACGGAGAAGGCUAUGUUGGCCGGGCGACGGUUGUCCCGGUUUAAGCGUGUAGGCUGGUUUUCCAGGCAAAUCCGGAAAACCAAGGCUGAGGCGUGAUGACGAGGCACUACGGUGCUGAAGUGACAAAUGCCCUGCUUCCAGGAAAAGCCUCUAAGCAUCAGGUAACAUCAAAUCGUACCCCAAACCGACACAGGUGGUCAGGUAGAGAAUACCAAGGCG
rnacentral:rRNA from 1 species